CCAGCUCUCGCAGUCCGGGGAGGAGGAGGAGCAGGAGGAACGCGAGGAGGAAGGAGAGGAGGAGCGGCCAGCAGUAGCCACGACCGCCACCACCAGGCAGAGGAAGAGUUCGUGGGAAGGAAAAGACCCUCCUCCCCCUUGGAGCCCCUUCUAUCUGCUUUUGGAGAAAGGGAAUAAACGAUAAAGAGGGAGACGGAAAAAAGAGAAAAAGUGAGGCGGGAGACAGAGGGAAAAGGGCGUGAACAGAAAGGGCCGGAGCGUGCAGGGGAGCCCAGGGCGCGGGGGCGGCACUGCCGAGCCGGGAGCGCUGCCGCUUGGGCAGGUGCCGCGGCCGCUGCCCGGAGGCGGCAUGUGACGCGCGGCCACAGCUGCCCGCGGGCGGAGCGCUCUCAGACCCCGGAGCGCACACCGCGGUGCCAUCGGUGCCUUCGCGGAUCCCCAGGCUCCUCGUCAGUCCGCCGGGGCGGCAGCAGCGCUUCUGGGAAGACGGGCAAUGAACCGAAGGGCAGCUCCUGGCAGGGGCACGCGAUCCUAAGGACAGUCGCUACCUGAACGCUGAGCCGGAGGAGACGAAGGGACCGUGGAGCGGACGCCACCCGCGCACCGGGCAGGCGCGGAGACCGGCGUGGGACAGCCACCUGGAGCGCAGCUGCCAGAUAUGAACAGUAAUGGCACAUAUUGUGGUUGUGAGUCACUCAGUGGACUGUGGAUUGAAUGAACUGUAUCCAUCCCCAUCAUGAUGUACAACACCAAGUCUCUUCACUACUUUUGCUGUGGCAUGGCACCUGGUCUCUUUCUAGAAGGAAAGUUCAACAAACAGCACAACUCUGGACACAUUGUAUUGGUUUGAUGACCCUACCUGGAACAGGUGGAGCUGGUCUCUUGGGCAGCCUGACAUCUGGUCCACUCCUCUGUCCUAUGCCGGGAUCAUCAUGACUGUAGAGAUUACGUCACUGUUUUGCAUCCUUAUUACAUAACUCAGUUCCUGGUAGAUUGUAAGUACACAGAAGGUGUUUUCUUAAUUAAAAAAUGGAUGAC
ensembl:lincRNA